AACACCGCAAAUAAUAUGAAUUGCAAGAGAGGUUUUUUUUUUAAGUCUGAAUAUAAUAUAAGGAAAAUAAUUAGAGGGUUGAUUAAUAAGUAAGGAGAAAUGACAAAGGUAACUAAAGAAAAACAAUGCGAAAAUUAACGUGAUUGAAAUAAACUAUGCAAACUAUCACAAAGAACAAGAAAUAUUAGUAAAAAAUCAAAAAAUAAGUUAACCGUCCCUGGGUGAAGACCGUCCGCCGCCCGCCAUGUCUGAACAACACGGACACGGUUGAAGCAAUUACGCUUAUUACCGCUAUAACUAUGUGUAAAUAGUCACCAUGAACUACUGGAAUGACGCAAGUGGAGCAGCAGUAGUGGACAUGGAGGUGGAGUGGCGUCAGUGUUGGAGUCGUGGGCGAGGCAUGGCGGCUCUUUAUAUAAGCGAAAACACCAAAUAAUUCCAUACUACCACAAUCUCCCUGUCUCCCUUUCUCCCUGCGCCCCGGCCCCCCUGCCCUCGCCCCGCCCAGACACCAUGGCCCGGCAGCAACACCACUCCACCAGCUACCUGACGCCGGCUGACGCACUCCUGGCACAGCAGCGAGCAAGUGUCAGAUGAUAAAGAUGUUGUGGUGGCUGUGGAGGUGUUCAUAUGUUAGUGUGCAGGAUUGCAGUAAACCUCCCUGAAGGUUGCAGAGGUGGUCAGGAAGUGUCCAGUCUAGGCUGUCACGAGGCUUUGUGAUGAGGAUCUCCCGCUGGUUGUCACUGUUAACGACUAUGUACUGCCACUCACAGGAAAUGGUGGCGAUGUGGAUAGCAAGUGGAAGAGGCCUUGGGAGACUGCCGUGGGUGGGGAGCAACAGCCGCACCCCACUGGAGUCUUCAGGAACCAAUAGUUAGAGUUUUGUCUUUAUCUGUGAAAUCAAGGAUGGUGGUGAUGGUGGUGAUGGUGGUGAUGGUGGUGGUGCCUCAUUGCAAGACGACAUGUGAAGGUGUGAAGAAAUCAAGGAUGGUGGUGAUGGUGGUGCCGCCUCAUUGCAGGACAAGAUGUGAAGGUGCCUGCAGCCAGUGGUGGUGUCCUGUGUGCCUGCCUGGUGGUGCAGCCUGGGGUGUUGCUUGCUUUAGUGUAAGUAAAUCUUGCAAGGUCGAUCUGCCAGCUGUCUCCAGUGUAGUGUAGUGUAGUAUGCCUUGCCGUGCGUCUUUGGGAAUAAAUAAAUUUGUGAUUAUUCUCGUGUGAAUUAUAUAGCGUGAUAAAGUUGCAGAAUGUGGUUCUUGAAAAAUAUAGAUUUGGUGGUAAACUAAUCAUGCCUUCUCAAGUAAAUAAAUAAAUAAAUAAAUAAAUAAAUAGGACCCAAAAUACUAAUACAAAUUGAUCCUCAGGUCUAAAAAAAAAGCUAGGAUAGGCCUAUUUUUGGCUUAACUAAUCUUGCCCUCUCAAAUAAAUAAAUAAAUAAAUAGGACCCAAAAUACUGAUACAAUUGAUCCCCUCAGGUCAAAAAAAAAGCCAGGAUAGGCCUAUAAGCCAGGAUAGGCCUAUUUUUUGGCUAAGUUUAAGGUGAAAUUUGCACACAGAAGCCCUGUCCGAGCGACUCCGGUGUCGCUCGGACAGGGCUUCUGUGUGCAAGUUUCACCUUAAACUUAGCCAAAAAUAGGCCUAUCCUGGCUUUAAAUAGGCCUAUCCUGGCUUUUUUUUUGACCAGAGAGGAUCAUCAUUUGUUUUACUAGUAUUUUUUGCAUGUUUAUUUAUUUGUUUAUUUAUUUAUUUAUUUAUUUUACUUAUUUUAUUUAUUUAUUUAUUUAUUUAUCAAGGCCAUGUAUGUGAAUGUUACACCAGAAACCUUAUUUUCAAUUUGUAAAAGAGUUGUUAAUAUAAUUUCCACAAGUAUGAACAAGAUAAUAUAUGUUUAAAUUAAAUUGUCAAAGUUUCUGAAGAGACAUAUGAAUUUUUACACGAGAAAGGUGGUUUAUUUACAACUUAUACUAAUAAUUCCUUAAGUAUGUACAAGAUAAUAUUUAAUCACUAUUAUUUAAUGACAUAAAACUUUAAUAAAUACACACAAUUAUGAUAAAACAUCUAUUUAUUUUCCUUGUGUCCGAGAACGCCUGUGUCAACUUGAGUGAGACAAGUGUUGCGGACUGCGGACUUCAGCCUUUGCAAGUCCUGAAGGCAGCUUGUCGUCCCCACCACAGCUUGAAGGGAGUCUUCCUGCUGUUAAUUCCUUCACAAUAUUAUUCCUGCUUUAAAUUCUUGCCUUACAGUCUUAAUAUAACUUGAUAACUCUUGUACAUCUUUCCUCACCACUCUUCCUGCUUCACAAUUUAUUCCUGCUUUAAAUUCUUGCCUUACGAUCUUCUUACAACUUGAAAAACUCUUGUACAUCUUUCCUCACCACUCUUCCUGCUUCACAAUUUAUUCCUGCUUUAAAUUCUUGCCUUACGAUCUUCUUACAACUUGAUAACUCUUGUA